CACGGGCUACUUUUUUCUAAAACCAUGUACAUGAGCUAUUGGGCUACUCACUAGUAGAAAAAUGUAAAAGGGCACCGACAAAUGCGCACUGAUUAUUAAAAAUCGAUGCCAAAAAUGCAAGCCUAGACCACAAAAAAAAAAAAAAACAGGUUUAAUAGGCCACCGGUUAACCGGUGGCCUUUUCCCAAUAUUCCCUAAAAUUAUUUCUCUCUCCUCACUCUUCCCUCUCUAUCUCUAACUCACACGCUCUCUCUCCUCUCCUCUCGAACUCUCCGUCUCCUCUCUCUUCUUGCUCCACCCCAGCCACCACCAGCGCAACCCUCCUCUCUCUCCAUCCUAGCUUCCCACCGCAGUCACCACUAACGCAACCCUCCUCUCUCUUCCUCCUAGCUUUCUGCCACCACCACCGCAGUCGUCACUAAUGGCGUAAGCCCUUAAAAAACUGGGAGAACGAUGCCUAGAUCUCUAAUGGCGACGCUGCUCCUCACAAGCUAUGAAUUUGACGAAUCAUCAAUCGGAAUGUACAAACCCUAAUAUUAGAAAUGAUGAUGAUGACGAUUCAGGCAAGACAAGUCCAAGGCGGUUGAGAUACUUGUGUGGUGAUUUGAAAGUAUUUUCAACAUUCAACGAAGAGGGAGCUUUACAAGGAAAUUACACAGCUUUUAACUCUAACUAACUUCAGCUUAAAUUGGUAGCAUCCGCUUUGUUAGAAUCCCAGACCAAACCCUGAUAUCAAGACGUUGUUCACUGAUCAUACGUGCACUCCUCAAAAUGGAGCUGUUCAGGUCUACGUUGCUGCUUCUAUGCUCCACGCCACUGCUGUUCUACUCUCGCUGCAGCUAAUCUGCUCUACGCUACUGUUGUAAUAUUAUUAUAUUCUGUAAUAUAUUUUUUUUUUUUGAAUUAAAAUUGUCAUGUACUCAUGUUACAGCUUUAUAUUAAUGGAAAUUAUAAGUUUACAUA